rnacentral:lncRNA from 1 species
UGUACUUCCUUCAUUCAAAAUUCAAACUCAAAAAUAGGGGGACUGGUGUUGGGUAUAAAAUACCCUCAGUCGAAGUUCUUGACAGGAUUGACCCUCCCAAGAUUCCUCCGACUUUCGACCACAGAUGGUAUCUCUCUGGAUUUUUUCAAUAGCCGGAUUCCCACAGUGCUGACUGAAUUCCUCCGACGGACGAACUCCCACUGCACCACCCG